CCCGAGUUGGUGUAGUGGUAACACAUCCAUUGAGAAGGUGGAGGACCCAGGUUCAAAUCCUGAACUCAGGG
rnacentral:tRNA from 2 species